rnacentral:lncRNA from 1 species
CUGAAGGCUGCUGAGGGAAGGAAGGGAAAUGUCCUCCCUUCACGACUGUUCCUGAGGAAGUAUGAUGCUCACCUUCUUUGACCCAGAAAGCUACCUCCUGGUUCCACAGCCACCCUCAGGCCCACCUUGCUGUCCAUGUAGGCUUCUGUCCAGAUGACGUCGUGGUCAUGGUCGAUGACCAUGGGCCGGCUGAGCACGUGCAGGCAAUCCACUUGAGGCGGUCAGCAAAAGUCACUUCUCUCCCAAUGAGCCCUCCAGGCUUCACAGCUGCAGGUACCUGCUUCAGGAUCUGGAAGGCCUCAAUCAGGGCUUGGUCCACGACCCCCAUGCCUUUGACCACCAGCUCAUCCACCAACUGUUUGAAAUGCUGUCAGGGUAAACGUUAGAUGGGGCUCAGUGGAUGGAGUAGCCAGGGACCUUGAGUAUCUGGCUAACUGAGGAGGCUGAUUAGAGCUAAUGCCAGAGGAUAUGAUUGCAGGACCCCUGCUCACAAUGCAGCUAAUCCCAUGGACUGGACCCCUAAAACAGAUGUUUCUCAGAUGUCCCCAAGGGAAAUAGAG